rnacentral:rRNA from 1 species
CCUACGGGGGGCAGCAGUGAGGAAUAUUGGUCAAUGGACGAGAGUCUGAACCAGCCAAGUAGCGUGAAGGAUGACUGCCCUAUGGGUUGUAAACUUCUUUUAUAUGGGAAUAAAAUGUUCCACGUGUGGGAUUUUGUAUGUACCAUAUGAAUAAGGAUCGGCUAACUCCGUGCCAGCAGCCGCGGUAAUACGGAGGAUCCGAGCGUUAUCCGGAUUUAUUGGGUUUAAAGGGAGCGUAGGUGGAUUGUUAAGUCAGUUGUGAAAGUUUGCGGCUCAACCGUAAAAUUGCAGUUGAAACUGGCAGUCUUGAGUACAGUAGGGGUGGGCGGAAUUCGUGGUGUAGCGGUGAAAUGCUUAGAUAUCACGAAGAACUCCGAUUGCGAAGGCAGUUCACUGGACUGCAACUGACACUGAGGCUCGAAAGUGUGGGUAUCAAACAGGAUUAGAUACCCUAGUAGUC